UACGGGGGGGGCAAGCGUUGUUUGGAAUUACUGGGCGUAAAGGGCUCGUAGGCGGCCAACUAAGUCGGAUGUGAAAUCCCCAGGCUUAACCUGGGAACUGCAUCCGAUACUGGAUGGCUUGAAUCCGGGAGAGGGAUGCAGAAUUCCAGGUGUAGCGGUGAAAUGCGUAGAUAUCUGGAGGAAUACCGGUGGCGAAGGCGGCAUCCUGGACCGGCAUUGACGCUGAGUGAGCGAAAGCCAGGGGAGCAAACGGG
rnacentral:rRNA from 1 species